AAUUUUGGACAAUGGGGGAAACCCUGAUCCAGCCAUCCCGCGUGUAUGAUGAAGGCCUUCGGGUUGUAAAGUACUUUUGGCAGAGAAGAAAAGGUAUCCCCUAAUACGGGCUACUGCUGACGGUAGCUGCAGAAUACGCACUGACGAACUACGUACCAGCAGCCGCGGUAAUCCGUAGGGUGCAAGCGUUAAUCGUAAUUACUGGGCGUAAAACUUGUGUAGGCGAGUAGGAAAGAAAGAUGUGAAAUCCCAGGGCUCAACCUUGGAACUGCAUUUUUAACUGCCGAGCUAGAGUAUGUCAGAGGGGGGUAGAAUUCCACGUGUAGCAGUGAAAUGCGUAGAUAUGUGGAGGAAUACCGAUGGCGAAGGCAGCCCCCUGGGAUAAUACUGACGCUCAGACACGAAAGCGUGGGGAGCAAACAGG
rnacentral:rRNA from 1 species